rnacentral:tRNA from 1 species
ACUUAAUUAGUUUAUUUAAAACGUUGAUUUGUGGGAUCGAAGAAGUAAUUUUUUUAUUUUAAGUA